GCCUUCGAUGGCAAAUGGAAAAGAAAGACAAUGAGAUGUUAGAGUUACGAAAACAGAUGAAAGCAAGAAUUGAAGAUGUUUCAAACUACAAAUUGAGACUCGAUAUGGCUGAAUCUCGAUUGAAUUCCACUGAUAAAGCAGAAGG
rnacentral:sRNA from 1 species